GAUUUGAUCUAUUUCUAGUGGCGGACGGGUGAGUAACGCGUGGGUAACCUGCCUUAUACAGGGGGAUAACAGUCAGAAAUGGCUGCUAAUACCGCAUAAGCGCACAGAGCUGCAUGGCUCAGUGUGAAAAACUCCGGUGGUAUAAGAUGGACCCGCGUUGGAUUAGCUAGUUGGUGGGGUAACGGCCCACCAAGGCGACGAUCCAUAGCCGGCCUGAGAGGGUGAACGGCCACAUUGGGACUGAGACACGGCCCAGACUCCUACGGGAGGCAGCAGUGGGGAAUAUUGCGCAAUGGGGGCAACCCUGACGCAGCAACGCCGCGUGCAGGAAGAAGGUCUUCGGAUUGUAAACUGUUGUCGCAAGGGAAGAAGACAGUGACGGUACCUUGUGAGAAAGUCACGGCUAACUACGUGCCAGCAGCCGCGGUAAUACGUAGGUGACAAGCGUUGUCCGGAUUUACUGGGUGUAAAGGGAGCGUAGACGGUGUGGCAAGUCUGAUGUGAAAGGCAUGGGCUCAACCUGUGGACUGCAUUGGAAACUGUCAUACUUGAGUGCCGGAGGGGUAAGCGGAAUUCCUAGUGUAGCGGUGAAAUGCGUAGAUAUUAGGAGGAACACCA
rnacentral:rRNA from 1 species